CAUCGCCGACCACCGAAGCCCCCAACACCGCCGACCACCGCAGCCCCCAACACCGCCGACCACCGCCGACCAUCGCAGCCCCCCAACACCGCCGACCACCGCAACCCUCCAACACCGCCUCGACCACCACAAACCCCCAACACCGCCUCGACCACCACAACCCCUCGCCGCCGCCUCGACCACCACAACCCCUCGCCGUCGCCUCGACCACCACAACGCCUUGCCGGAAGAUAAAGAGGCGAGAGAGAGAGGGAGAAGAAGAGGCGAGAGGGAGAGGGAGCGGCGAGAUGCGAGAGAGAAAACUAAAAAAAAAUGAUUAGUUGAAUAAACGUGGGAUAUUAUAUUUAGGGUAUAAGGGCAAACUAGGGAUAAAAUAAAAAUUAGGGAUGUGGGUCAUAUAUUAUUUCAAAAUAGGGAUUUAAUUAAAAGAUUGAAUUUAAGGUUGUCAUUUAGUUCAAAUUAGGUUUCAUUUAAGGGACUCUUAGCAUAUUAACC